GCGGCGGACGGGUGAGUAAUGCCUAGGAAUCUGCCUGGUAGUGGGGGAUAACGUCCGGAAACGGGCGCUAAUACCGCAUACGUCCUGAGGGAGAAAGUGGGGGAUCUUCGGACCUCACGCUAUCAGAUGAGCCUAGGUCGGAUUAGCUAGUUGGUGGGGUAAAGGCCUACCAAGGCGACGAUCCGUAACUGGUCUGAGAGGAUGAUCAGUCACACUGGAACUGAGACACGGUCCAGACUCCUACGGGAGGCAGCAGUGGGGAAUAUUGGACAAUGGGCGAAAGCCUGAUCCAGCCAUGCCGCGUGUGUGAAGAAGGUCUUCGGAUUGUAAAGCACUUUAAGUUGGGAGGAAGGGCAGUAAGUUAAUACCUUGCUGUUUUGACGUUACCAACAGAAUAAGCACCGGCUAACUUCGUGCCAGCAGCCGCGGUAAUACGAAGGGUGCAAGCGUUAAUCGGAAUUACUGGGCGUAAAGCGCGCGUAGGUGGUUCAGCAAGUUGGAUGUGAAAUCCCCGGGCUCAACCUGGGAACUGCAUCCAAAACUACUGAGCUAGAGUACGGUAGAGGGUGGUGGAAUUUCCUGUGUAGCGGUGAAAUGCGUAGAUAUAGGAAGGAACACCAGUGGCGAAGGCGACCACCUGGACUGAUACUGACACUGAGGUGCGAAAGCGUGGGGAGCAAACAGGAUUAGAUANCCUGGUAGUCCACGCCGUAAACGAUGUCGACUAGCCGUUGGGAUCCUUGAGAUCU
rnacentral:rRNA from 1 species